CUGGGAAUGAGACAUGAUUAUCCGGUGACCAAAGUCGACGCUCACCUGUCAUUCCUCUGUAAAACUGUUGUUACAGAUGUAGGGCGGGUCACCAAAGUGCACAGGAAAGACUUACGUAGAGACCUGUCUGCUUCCUGUCAAUCCUGCGCCUCUGGAGAAGUUGGAUGCUGAUGUCAGGUAACCUGUGAGCAUCACGUACGAAAUAUGAUAAAACUCAUAAAACUAGCUAUUUAGGUAUAACGGUAUCAAAGGUGGGUUAAGAGGUGAAGGAACUGGGUUAAGUGACCCAUUGGUAGGUUGUUCCGCUGGUAUAGGCAAAGCAACCUGGUUACAAGUCCACAUGAAGGCAUCUGGAGAUAUAAUCGGUUCUCUGCAGAUGUUUUCAGAAGUCAUCAAAACUAUUAUGGAAACUCUGGCUAGCUUCGUCUGUGCAGGCUUUUUCCCCAAAGGCAUCGACAUCCAGACCAUCUCUGAACUCCAGCACCUCUUCUGCACGCAUGGCAGAAAGCGACAAGCGAACUCCGACCCGGGGAGCUCUGAGACAACAUGUCCUGAGAGAUCAAGGCCAUCAUAGAGAAAGUUAACUGGUAAUGCAAACCUGUUCUUCUGCCAGAUGUUCUUAUCCAGCACCAAUCUCUGCCAGUGUGACAGUGAGUCCGAAUGAUCAGGACACACUGAACAAGUAUGAAACUGAUGAUGACAAUGAAGGUGAUAUGUAAAGACUCGGAUGCCUAAAAUACUAAACCCAUUUCCACAGUCACAUAUAUUAAUAAGACCUAAGUUGCCGAACAAGUUAUCAGCACUCAGUUGGAGGAGUUUGUAACAGUGAAAGACAAGAAGACACUGGACAAACUGCUCUCCUUCAUGGACAAGUCCAACCACCCACUCCAUCCGACAACAGAAGGGCAGGGGAGCUCAUUUUCCGACAGACUCCUCCAGUGCCGUUCCCACAGUGAACGCUACAGGACUCGAUUAAUUCCAAAUGCCAUCCAGCUCUACAAUACCUCACCUGUCUGUGAAAGAUAAUUCACAACAUUAUUGCACUGUACUGUCUACCCUCCCUUGUAUAAAGUGUAAAUUUACUUGAAUUUACCACACACCAUUUGUAGAUAUGCAAAUCUUGCUUCUUAUACUUGUUUUAUUUGAUUAUGUUUUAUUCAUACGGAACUGCUUUUCAUUUAAGAGUGUUUUUGUUUUUCUUCUGCAAUUGAGCUACUGUCACCAAGCAAUUUCCCUUGUGGAUCAAUACAGUCUAAGUCUAAGUUUAAAAGAGCUAAGGCUUUACUUUCAAAGAAAAAAAAGCCCCAUGCAUGAAGCUGUCUGCACAGCCCCAGUAUGAGCCUCUCUUUCUGGGUAACAGAGGAGUGAACAGCAAGCUGGUUGAUCAACAUUGCAGUAGUCCAGGUCUCCUAUUUUAACACAAAUUUAAGUUUCAGAUGUGACACUGGACUUGGUAUAUUGGGUAU